UAUUACUGUAGUGCUUUUCGUAACAUUUUUCUUUAAUAUCAUAUUUUUUUAUAAAAAAGGUAAAACUUUUAUACAUUUAUAUCUGAUUGUCAGUAAUAAAAAUAGGUUGAUAAAGGGAGUUUAAGCCCUUGCUACUGCCAUAACAUGAUUUUUUUAUUUUUUUAAUUUUUAAUAUCGAUGGCCUUAUAUUGGGUGUAAUAUCAGAUUGUGCUUAAUUGUAUCAAUUUUUUUUCAUAAACGCUCUCAUUAAAAUGUUUAAACCAGCAUGUGGCAAAGGCAUCUAAGAGCUUGUUGGCCAUGGCAGUUGGAAUAAAACAAAAAACAGUUGUGGAUCAAAUUGUUGAGAAGUUUUUCUCCAGCAAUUUUACUAUAAUGCUUUUCCAUUAUGAUGAUGUGGUGGAUGAGUGGAGAGACUUACAAUGGAGUGAUAGUGCCUUACAUGUCUCUGCAAUCAAUCAAACAAAAUAUUAUAUAUCAAUGAUUGGGAAGGAAGGGUUAGAGACAUCACAACCUGUAUCGGACGUCGCUAAAUUAGAGGUGCAUCAUCAAAUCACUGCACGUGGGAGGCAAGAAGAUGUGCAAAGGUCUGGUCUUAGUAAUUAUUAGGAGCUGUUCAUUUUCACUGUUGGCUUAUACUUGUGUUUUCAAUAAAUCACUCUAUAUUACUGAUGCCUAUUUUUAGUCAUUUUACUAAUGCCUAAUGCUCAUUGGAAUACACAAUGGAUUCAUGGACAAUGCAACACCACUCUUUUCCCUUUCAUAUCUCAACCUCCAAGUCCAGAUAAAGCAUUGUAUUUUACAAGUUCAGAUGUUCCGGUGUCCUGACAAUAAGUUGCUGUUGGAUAUCCUGGACAUCAUUGGAAGCAAAGGAGGAAUUUGCAGUUGAAAUCUCUAAAAAUGUUUUCUGCUUAUUUAACUUGUACAAUUUGCAGAUCAUCUGAAAUGAUUUACUAAGUUUCAGAUAUUUUAUCCUAAAUACACACAAAUGCAAUAGUGGGAUUGAUGCAUGUACCUGCACAUGCCAUUAAUAUGUGAUGUGAGCACAUUUUACAUCUAGUGAGGCAGUCUCAGUUGAUUGGAGUAGAUGGGGUUUGUUAUUAUGUAUUGUUGGUUUUCUCAAGCUUCAUCUGCUGCUUAACAGGCUUCAAAUUAGAUCGUGGGAGGUCUUUCAGUGCUUCAGGAUCCAAAAUAUCUUUCAGUUCCUUCUAACUGUUGCUGUCCUUUGUAUAUCUAUUUAUUAGAAGAGUUGCAAGGCACUGCUAGCUUUUUGUAACUUCAUAUUCAUCCAUCUUAUUUGUUGUUUGUGUAGAGAGGCAGAUCACCUGCCACCUCUCACUCCUCUUUAUGCCUUGUUUUGGAGUUAUAUUUUGGUGGAUCAUAUCUCUAUCUGUAAUUUUGAGAUCUUGUAUUAUCCCUAUUUUAAUUUAGCUUAGUUACUC